CCAUACGUGGCAUCUUUUUAUUGGGUUAACUUAUUGACAAAACCAAAAAAAAAAGCUUCUCGCGUUUAUUCUUUUCUUCUUCUCUCUUUUCCUCUUGUGUCGCCGACGGAGACACAAAAUCGAUUGAAAAUUUCGACGCCACAAAAUCGAUUGGAAGUCUUAGCUAGGAAUCGAGAAUGCUAUAGCUAAAAGUUGAUUGAUCUUCAUAUUCGAAAUUUACACAGCAGGAGCUUCCAGCUUGCAAACCAAUUCUUACGCCUGGUUGGGUGAUUUCAACUCUUGUUUUGUGGCCCUUGUCACGGCUUCGAAUCUACACAAUGAUGCCUGGUGCUUAAACUUUUUAUUGCAUACUCUGGUUUAAUCACUCACUAUACCAAUAUAUAUGCUAAUAAUUGUGGUUCUAAUCACUAAUCAAUGAAAUGCUGUUUCUAAAGUUGCGUACUUGGUUUAGAUCCUAUUGUGGUUCAGUUUGGGAGAGAACUUGUUGAAAUAAAAUCAAAAGGUUAUCUUUCACAAGAUCUAACAAGUUCAGUUGGUCUUGAAAGGAAAUGCCGUGAGAUUGUUGUAACAGAUGAAAGGGAGAGAAGAUCGUGGGCAUUGGAUCUGAGGUUCUAAGAAUCUAAUUACAAAGUGAAAAAGACAGAAUAGAGACCUCUGUAGGAGUCGGUCGAUCGAAAGCCAACAGCCUCUGCAAAAGACGGAGUGCUAAUGGAUCUGCUUUAGAGAAUUUUUGCGAGAAGAAAUUGCAUCUGAUUUUGGUGUGCCAAGAAGAUCAGUAAUCAACUCCAACUGAUGGACAACACUUUUUCCCGGAAACAAUGGCUUCCAUGUUAGUACCUCUGCAAAGAUGCAGCCAAUGCUCCAAACGUCGAUAGCUGGAGUGUACUGCAGAAUAAUAUUAACUAUCAACGAUGUAACAUAAGGAGACAAGAACAACAAAGAAAACUGUAUGGAGCUUCACCAAGCCAAGUUGAUUAUAUACAUCUGUUGAAACCGAGUUGAUCAUGCCUCACCCGGAUGUCAAGCCAAUGGCAUAUGCAAACAAUGAUUAAAGAUGUUCUCUCUUCCUUUAAGCUUAUCCAGCAACAGUUAUUCUCAUGUAGAUUCAGUUUUUCCCUUUUUCAAUUUUUUUUUGUUUUAGAAACCCACUUAAGGAUUCCAUCAAUGGUCAAUAAAAUUUUCAAAAACUCUAAAAAA
rnacentral:lncRNA from 1 species